rnacentral:rRNA from 1 species
GAUGAACGCUGGCGGCGUGCCUAAUACAUGCAAGUCGAGCGAACAGACGAGGAGCUUGCUCCUCUGACGUUAGCGGCGGACGGGUGAGUAACACGUGGAUAACCUACCUAUAAGACUGGGAUAACUUCGGGAAACCGGAGCUAAUACCGGAUAAUAUAUUGAACCGCAUGGUUCAAUAGUGAAAGACGGUUUUGCUGUCACUUAUAGAUGGAUCCGCGCCGCAUUAGCUAGUUGGUAAGGUAACGGCUUACCAAGGCAACGAUGCGUAGCCGACCUGAGAGGGUGGUAGGCCACCCUGGAACGGAGACACGGUCCAGACUCCUACGGGAGGCAGCAGUAGGGAAUCUUCCGCAAUGGGCGAAAGCCUGACGGAGCAACGCCGCGUGAGUGAUGAAGGUCUUCGGAUCGUAAAACUCUGUUAUUAGGGAAGAACAAAUGUGUAAGUAACUAUGCACGUCUUGACGGUACCUAAUCAGAAAGCCACGGCUAACUACGUG